CCCGAAAACCGACGACCUCCCCAGGCAGGCCGCAGGAGGCGGGAACGGCAGGAGCCGCGCCCGAGCGAGCCCCUAACAAAAAGGAUGUUUUAGGCAUGUGUCCAUUCCCAGGGUCCCCGGGACCCAGGAGUUCCUCACACCUUCAAAACACAAGAGACCAGAGAAGCCCUCCUGCUAGAAGGGACUGGUCUCUGGCAUGUGGGAGACCUUGGUAGGCAACUCAGGGGAGGCUGAGCCAUGUUCCUGGGAGAGGGCGGGGUGGGGGGGCAGCCUGCUGUGGCCACUUUGCUCCUGAUCUUGCACUCAGUCCUCCCUCCUUGGCCCCUCCUUGUCCUUCCUGGCCCCCUCCCAUCAACACUCGCCACCUGGAGACAAGUCCUCGUGGCCAGUGCUGACCUGCUUUUCUAAGAAAGAUAAAGUGCUUUCAGCAGCUUCUACGGUAGGUGGGGACUGCUGGUACCCGGGUUGACCUUCCAGGUUAGUCUCCAUAGCAACUGCUCCCCCCCACCCAGCUCUGGCAGCGUCUCAGCUGGACUAUGGGUCCCCAGCUUUCUUUGCUGAGUUCUCAAGGGAAUGUAUGUGCCAUUUGCUGGUGGAGGCUUUCAACACGUGGGUGUGUCCUCAUCCCCCUGUCCCAGGCUUCUGUCCUCUGCCUCUGUCAGGAUGUGGACAGUGAGGCCCUGGGGAAGAACUGGCUUCCUGAAUGCUGUGUGGAGGAGAGCUGCCCACUGCCAGGAAUCAGCCGCCUGGGACUUCAUGUGCGGAGGACUGCUAUUUCACAUCCGCUAGAGGCUCAAGGGCUGAAGAGAGUUGGUAGCUGGCUCCAACCGUCCUCCUGUGAUUUUGUGAAGUGGAACAAAGCCCACAAAACCAGGGCUACUAUUGUAGCAAGAACACAGUGUGAAAUGAAGCAGAGUUUUGGCAAUUUGAGUCUUAAUUUGACAUAUAGAUAGAAAUGUAGAAUUACAUAGGUCAGAAUUUUAAUAAAGAGAUUUUCUGAAUUAUCUAGUUUGAUAUAUUUUCUGAAUUAUCUAGUUUGAUGUAUUUUCUGAAUUAUCUAGUUUGAUGUAUUUCCAGAUCUAAUAAAGAGCCAAC